UCCGAUAUGGUCUAGUGGCUAGGAUUUGCCGCUCUCAUCAAGUUCAGGCUUCUACUUCUGAGUGUCCGGCAAGGCCCGGGUUCGAUUCCCGGUGUCGGAA